AUUUGAGUGCCCAGUCCCCCAGUCUAUCCAAAUCCCUCUGCAGCAAAGUAAUAUUAUCUCAUUGUAUUACUUUACAGAGUUUUGUGUCAUCUGCAAACACUGAAACAUGAUUUUCAAUGUUUUUUUCAAGAUCAUUUAUAAAGAUGUUAAAUAGAUGGGGUCUCAGAAGAGAACCCUGAGGUACACCACUUGCCACCUCUGUCCAGCUUGAAAAUUUACCAUUAAUGACAACUCUUUGUACCAAUAUUCUACCUAAGAACAAGUAUUUUCAUCUGGACCGAUUUCCUUGAGUUUGAACACGAAUCUAUUGUGUGGAACUGUAUCAAAUGCCUUGGCAAAAUGCAAAUAGAUCACAUCCACUGC